rnacentral:rRNA from 1 species
GACGAACGCUGGCGGCGUGCUUAACACAUGCAAGUCGAACGGAAAGGCACUGAUUUUGUGGGGUGCUCGAGUGGCGAACGGGUGAGUAACACGUGAGUAACCUGCCCUUGACUUUGGGGUAACUUCAGGAAACUGGGGCUAAUCUCGGAUAGGAGCUCCUGCUGCAUGGUGGGGGUUGGAACGUUUCGGCGGUUGGGGAUGGACUGGCGGCUUAUCGGCUAGUUGGUGGGGUAGUGGCUUACCAAGGGUUUGACGGGUCGCCGGCCUGGGAGGGUGGACGGCGUCAAGGGUACUGAGAGACGGCCCAGUGGGCUACGGGGGACAACAGUGGGGAAUAUUGCACAACGGGCCGAAGCCUGAUGCAGAAACGCCGCGGUCGUGAUGACGUCCUGUGGGUUGUAAACCGCUGUCGCCUGAGAUGAAGCGUUAGUGACGGUAAUGGAAAAAGAAGCACCGGCUAACUACGUG